UGAACGUUGGCGGCGUGGAUUAGGCAUGCAAGUCGAGCGAGAAGCUUUCCUUCGGGAGAGUGGACAGCGGCGCAAGGGAGAGUAACGCGUGGAUACCUGCCCUAGGGUUCGGAAUAGCUGCGGGAAACUGCAGGUAAUACCGAAUAACAUCUCCGGAUCAAAGGUGUGAUUCCGCCCUGGGAUGGGUCCGCGUCCUAUUAGCUUGUUGGUGAGGUAACGGCUCACCAAGGCUGCGAUAGGUACCGGGUGUGAGAGCAUGGCCCGGCUCACUGGGACUGAGACACUGCCCAGACACCUACGGGUGGCUGCAGUCGAGAAUCUUCGGCAAUGAGCGCAAGCUUGACCGAGCGACGCCGCGUGGGGGAUGAAGGCCUUCGGGUUGUAAACCACUGUCAGAGGGGAUGAAGUGCUGGAAGGCUAUCCUUCCAGUUUGACAAAUCCUCAGAGGAAGUACGGGCUAAGUUC
rnacentral:rRNA from 1 species